AUUACUCUCUAGCUAGCUGUACGUUGUUUAAAUAGAUAAACAGAUCUUUAUGAUGCAAUGAACUCUGGUCAAAGCGCAUGCAGUGCAAUUUUUACAUUGAUUUGCCAGUAAAGUGAAUUUUCCGGAGCAGUCCAAUCGUCACGUCACGGUAAGUAAAUUAAUUAGUAAAUUCCUCAUGGCUUAUGCGCAACUGGUCUAUUGCACUCAACCCUCGGGGCUUACGCCCUCAUGCUUUAGUGCAAUUUAUAUACACCAUACAUCCCUCGUGCCCGUGCUAUAACUAUAACUUACCGACACACCCAAUGUAGUGGGGUAUAUCCGUUAUCGUCAGUACACUCAACAAUGCAAUUUUUAUCUUCCAUGAGGUAUUUCACCACAUUCACACUUCCACCCCUGUGCAUAGGAUAAAGAAUAGAUGGGCCUGGUGGUUGCGCAUGCACUAACUGUUAGCCGGAUACCAGCUAACACAGGAUAACAACGUUAUAUCCGGCAUAUGCAGCAUAGUGCACUAACCACAAAAUGCCCCACUGGGACUCUUAGUGCUGUGCUGAGCCUACUGUGCAUCAUAUAGAAGCGUUGUGUAUCUUACCAAAAGCUUGAAAGCUUUUAAAGGCAGUUUUUUGAGUGUUGUAUUAUCAUUUCGGCUCUAUCUAGUGGCUUUGUGUACCUUCUACAAGGAGAGGCUGUGACUGCAGCCCAACAUAUUAAUGAUUCCCUCUUUCUUAAGUAUAGCUGGGCAUUGUAUGCAAGUAAAAUC